CUUCGAUCUUACUCACUCAAAGUCACCUGCUGCAAGCAAAGUCCGGAGGAUAGGAGAGACGGUGAUGCUAAUUUUCAUGACUGGUCUGAAACAUUAAUGGACAUUUUGAGUUAGAAAGCUUCUAAGUUGCCCAAAGGAUUCUAAUUUGGUUUUAGAAAAAUCACUUUAAAAGAAUGUACUGGAAACAUUGUGGUCAUCAAUUUGUGGGUUCACAGUGCUGCGCUGUCUUCAUGCUGGAAUUAUUAAGUGAUUAAACGCAUCCAGAAGAAUCAGAUGGCACUACAGUGACACUGGACGUUCAGGAGGGUACACAUGGGGGCGUGUUGGCCCAGAAAUUCAUUUUUUCCAUCCAAGUCUUCACUACAAAUUACUAAAAAGUAUCAUUCUAAAAGAAAACUUAAUACUUGUGAGGCCUUGGGUAUUUUUCUUUGACUAUGUAUACCCCUGUGUGUAAUAGGC
ensembl:lncRNA